UGUUAACAAGAAAUGUGUGGAGUGGUUGAAAAACGAGUUUUAAUGACUCCAACCUAAGUGCAUGUAAACUUCCGACUUCAACUAUAAAUGCAUUGUGUAAAGCUGUUGGCUGUGUUGGUUUUCUGUCUCAGGGUUUACUGAGGAUGAAGCUGCUUCCUAGGCUCCCUACAUCCUAGAGGGGAUCCGCCCGUCACCCAGGGUGGUCCAGGAUGUCCUCGGAGUCCUGAUCCGCAUUGUCAGACACUCCUCCUCAGCAGCCACUCAGGUCUUGGACUGCCCUCGUUUGAAGGAGACUGUGUUGUCAGAGUUCCUGCCCUGCUCCUGGGCAGUGCCCACCUCCCCGACCCCCAGUCUGUAUGCGUGGCCAACGCCAUGAAGCUCCGACAAGUCCUGUACACCACUGGCAGACACGCCUGUGCCAGGCUGGUAAGUGUGGAGAGAGGAAUUUUCAAACCCAACUACCAGCUUACCUGAUGUAUUAAUGCCACACU
rnacentral:lncRNA from 8 species